rnacentral:rRNA from 1 species
GCAAACUGGAGAUGGCGACCGGCGCACGGGUGAGUAACACGUAUCCAACCCGCCGAUAACUCGGGGAUAGCCUUUCGAAAGAAAGAUUAAUACCCGAUGGCAUAAUAGAACCGCAUGGUUUGAUUAUUAAAGAAUUUCGGUUAUCGAUGGGGAUGCGUUCCAUUAGGCAGUUGGUGGGGUAACGGCCCACCAAACCUUCGAUGGAUAGGGGUUCUGAGAGGAAGGUCCCCCACAUUGGAACUGAGACACGGUCCAAACUCCUACGGGAGGCAGCAUG